UACAAUUUUGUUGGGGCGGUGGGGCACCAACAUUUUUCUUCCUCCGAAGUGGGGCGCGACUUAGAUCAACCAAAAAACGGCGAUGAAAAAGAAGGGAUUUCACGUUUGACUCGUUUGCCAGACGUUUCCUUGCCAUCUCAAGGGCGCAUGUGAACGAAGCAACACGGCGCCAUGGGAACCGGCUGAUGGGGAACAGAGCUACAGCUGAGUAUGCAUUAUUCUAAGCAGGGUGUGAAUAUGUGCUCACAAUAGCAAAGUGACAAAAUGUACCCCAUUUUGAAUUGAAAUGCAUCUCCUACCCAGAUUGUAUCUAGAUAUGAUCUAACCUGAUAAUAUUUACUGUAUUGUGUGUCUCCAAUGUUCACAGAGCCAGGAUUGAGGUCCAGCUCAGCCAACCAAAUAUCACACCACCUCUCGUUGGCAUUGCAGCGAGUCACCUUUUUCCACCAUUUUGUUAGCCAUUGCCUCAUCAAUGGCUUAGCUGCAAUAUUAUUAUAUAUAAACUAGUAUAGUGCCGCUUUCAUACUUGUUGUCGGACAAAAAUGGUUGGUCUGGUCUUGCCUCUAUCCACGGGUGUCUUGAAUAUCCAGUUUGACAAGCGUUCUUGCUAGUAGCUAGUGAUGGGUCCAGCAACACCGAUGCGUUGGCGCAUGUGUCGAGCUCAUAGAGCGAAACCCCGUGUCCGUGCGCAUAUCGCUUUAAGAAAGUCACGUGACCGAUACAGCUGCUGUUUCGCCUGUCACUGAGGCGCCAAACUGUGUUUAUAAGGAAGCGCAUCUGUCAACGGGAUGCAUCUCUGCCAAAAGAAUCACAGAUCUUUUGAAGCGCAAUUCUUCCCUUCAAGCCAUGGAGCCCGAGAGAAAAAGAAAGGUUUCCGUCGUGUGGGACCAUUUUGAUCUUAUAUCGGCAAAUAAGGUAUUUGUUUUUAUUUCCUUUCAUCCUGUUCCUCUCAGUUUCCGCUUGAUCUAUCAGAAUUAAAAUUUGUUUCAAAGUUUAAAUGAUUAAUUUUAUUUUCUGGAGGUUAAAUGUUGCAUUUGUUUGACAGAACGGUCCUACAUUAAUAAAAGCACCUCGUCAAUGCUGAGGCAUUACAGAGAGAGGCAUGAAAAUGAGGAGGUCACAAAUACAGCAAGAAUAAAACACAGCUUCCAGGAAGCAUGCGUUGGACCAGGCAGUUCUCAAUUUCAUUCUCAAGGACUGCCAACCCCUCAGCAUUGUUGAGAGUGUGGGGUUCAGGGAACUGCUUCAGGUCCUUGAGCCAUCAUAUGUUUUGCCAACCAGAAAGAAAUGGUGGCCAAAAAAUAUGAGGAGGAACGAGAACGAGUGAAAAUGGAAGUACACCACUGCUUCCAAUCUGGAGUCAUUAAGUGUGUUGACCCUAUCAACACUUCUAGACCCCAGAUUUAAAUAACUCGGGUUUCGUAGUUCCUCCAAAUGCAGUGAAGCAGUCAGUACAAAUCUGAAUGUGUGGCUGUAAUUGGGCGCACAUCGACUGAGCCACAGCCUGGACCUUCUUCACAACAGCUAUCGGCACCCACUUCAGGCUUGUUAUUCAGUUUUAUCAGUUUAUUUGUGCAUUUAUUUGCUUGCAAAUCAUGUACUAAAAUGCCAAUUUGUUGUUUUUUAGAUAACCUGUGGAAGCACCUGGAUGAGGAAGUUGGCAGGCAGACCACCAAUGUCACAGCCGAUGCAAUCAUUGAGGUUCAGAAAUACAUGGUAGAGGGCAACAUUCCAAGGUCCCAGGAUCCUUUGAAAUAUUGGGACAACCAAAAGCACACAUACCCAAACCUCUUCCGGCUGUCCCUACAAUUGUUGUGCACACCAGCCUCAUCUGUGCCAUGUGAGCGGGUGUUCUCUAAAGCUGGAGAACUUGCGUCAAAGAAACGUAAUCGCCUGAAUGCCAAGA